CAUCCCCAGGUCAGGCGACAUUAGCCGCUGAGUUUAAGCAUAUUAAUAAGCGAAGGAAAAGAAACUUACAAGGAUUACCCUAAUAACGGCGAGCAAACCGGGAACAACCCAGCCUUAUAAUCGGGCAUCUCUGUCAUCCGAAUUGUUGUUUGGAGAAGUGUCCUCAAUGGCGGAUCGGGCCCAAGUCCCCUGGAAGGGGGCGCCGAACAGGGUGAGAUCCCUGUCAUGCCCGGACCCUGUCGCACCACGAGGCUAUGUCUACGAGUUGCGUUGUUUUGGAAUGCAGCCUAAAUCGGGGGGUGAAUUCUGUCCAAGGCUAAAUACUUGCGAGAGACCGAUAGCGAACAACUACUGCAAGGGAAAGAUGAAAAGGAAUUUGAAAAGAGAGUCAAAGAGUGCUUGAAAUUAUCGGGAGGGAAGAGGAUGGGGGCCGGCGAUGCGCCACGAUCGGAUGUGGAACGGUGAUGAGCCGGUCCGUCGAUCGACUCGGGGCGUGGACCAACGUGGUUUGGGGGGGAGGACAAAGCCCGGGCUCUCGAUACAACCAUGGAACACCGUAUCCCCGAUUGUGGAAGGCAGCGCGUGCCUCCGGCGUGCUUCGGCAUCUGCACACUCCGGACCCUGGCUUGUGGGCUCCCCAUUCGACCCGUCUUGAAACACGGACCGAGGAAUCUGACAUGUGUGUGAGUCAACGGUCGAGUAAACCCGUAAGGCGUAAGGAAGCUGAUUGGUGGGAUCCCCAUGAGGGGUGCACCGCCGACCGACCCUGAUCUUCUGAGAAGGGUUCGACUGUGAGCAAACCUGUUGGGACCCAAAAGAUGGUGAACUAUGCCUGAGCGGGGCGAAGCAAGAGGAAACUCUAGUGGAGGUCCGCAGCGAUAGUGACGUGCAAAUCGAUCGUCUGACUUGGGUAUAGGGGCGAAAGACUAAUCGAAUCGUCUAAUAGCUGGUUCCAUCCGAAGUUUCCCUGAGUAUAGCUGAUGCUCGCGUGCGAGUUCUAUCGGGUAAAGUCAAUGAUUAGAGGCCUCGGCGGCGCAACGCCCUCGACGUAUUCUCAAAUUUCAAAUAGGUAGGCGAUGCGACUUCUUUGUUGAGCCGUGCCACGAAAUCAAGAUAUCCAAGUGCGCCAUUUUUGGUAAGCCGAACUGGCGAUGCAGGAUGAAUCGGAAGCCGGGUUAUGGUGCGAAACUGAGCACUAACCUAGAUCCCACAAAGGGUGUUGGUCAAUUAAGACAGCCGGACGGUGGUCAUGGAAGUCGAAAUCCGCUAAGGAGUGUGUUACAACUCGCCUGCCGAAUCAACUAUCCCCGAAAAUGGAUGGAGCUUAAGCGCGCGAUCUACACCCGGCCGUCAGGGAAAGUGCCAGACCCCGAUGAGUAGGAGGGCGCGGCGGUUCGGUCGUUGUCAAGCGUGGCAUGCCAUCAUAGCCCUUGGAAAAUAGAUACGGUCGGACGACGUUGGGCGUGGCAUGCCAUCAUCGCCUUUGGACUAGCAGACACAGUCAGACGACAUCAGGCGUCGCAUGCCAUCGUCGCCUUUGGACUAGCUGACACGGUCGGAUGACGUCGGGCGUGGCAUGCCAUCUUCGCCCUUGGGCAGCACAGACGGUCGGAAGGCGUCGGGCGUGGCAUGCCAUAAUCGCCCUUGGACAGCACAGACGGUCGGCCGUCGUCGAGCAUGGCAUGCCGUCAUAGCCCUUGGACAGCACAAACGGUCGGCCACUGUUGGACGUGCCUACACACAACGAUCGGUCGUGGACAUCCCGCAUAGAUCGUGGAUUGCGCAACAAUGUUCGAUAACUAGACGAAACAUGCAGAUGUUCAUGACGUACAUGGAUCAAAGGAUUUUGAAAGAACCCCCAUGCAUAACAAACAUAUUCAUCGACUUUUUUAUCUAUUCUCAAAUGACUUGAGAGGUGUAGUAUAAGUGGGAGCCAAAAGGCGUAAGUGAAAUACCACUACUUUUAAUGUUAUUUUACUUAUUCCGUGAAUCGGAAGCGGGGCACUGCCCCUCUUUUUGGACCCAAGUCUCGCUUUGCGGGCCGAUCCGGGAAGGAGACAUUGUCAGGUGGGGAGUUUUGCUGGGGCGGCACAUCUGUUAAAAGAUAACGCAGGUGUCCUAAGAUGAGCUCAACGAGAAAAGAAAUCUCGUGUGUAAGAGAAAGGUAAAAGCUCGUUAUAUUCUAAUUUCCAGUACGAAUACUAAACGUGAAAGAGUGGCCUUACGAUCCUUUAGACCUUUGUAAUUCGAAGCUAGAGCUUUCAGAAAAGUUACCACAGGAUAAUUGGCUUGUGGCAGCCAAGGGUUCACAACGACGUUGCUUUAUUAUCCUUCGAUGUCGGCUCUUUUGGUCACUGUGAAGCAUAAUUGACCAAAUGUUUUAUUGUUCACCCACCAAUAGGGAACGUGAGUUGGGUUUAGACCGUCAUGAGACGGGUUAGUUUUACCUUUGAAAAGCCAGUGGCGCGAAGCUACCGUGUGCUGGAUUAUGACUGAAUGCCUUUAAAUCAAAAUCCGGACAAGAAGCGAUCCAUGCGCCCGCCGUCCGCUUGCCGACCCGCAGUAGGGGCCUAUGGCCCCCAAGAGCACGUGUCGUUGGCUAAGUCGUCGCAACAUAAGUGCCGCAGUGACCGUCUUGAAGUACAAUUUCCAUGGAGCAGCGGGUAGAAUCCUUUGCAGACGACUUAAAUAUGCGACAGGGUAUUGUAAGUGGCAGAGUGGCCUUACUGCCACGAUCCACUAAGAUUCAGCCCUUUGCCACUCCUAUUAGU
rfam:Solanum lycopersicum cultivar Heinz 1706 chromosome 11, whole genome shotgun sequence.